ensembl:lncRNA
CGGAAUUCAGAGUUUUUCCUACAAGGCGCUCUCAAGUUUGCGUGUUCCGUGCUGCAGGAAGAUUCAGCACGAUUCCCCCCCUUCCCACUCCCCCCAAAGGCCGUGGCCUGGGCACGAUUGCUCCUUCAUACAUACGUCAUCACGUCGUAAUACGAUAAUACGUCAUCACCAAGCGUCCUCGCCGCCAUAACAACGAUGGAGAACAACAACGUGAAUGCUGUCGUCGGCCCAAAUUUCAAGACCUACAAAUCGGAGGAGGCCUUUGUGGACAUAAACAACAUUUUGCGCCGAGGGGACAUCAUUGGCGUCCGCGACAAGGUGGGGACCAACAUGGUGGAGUACAUUCAUCAAUCCGAGAGGAGUCAACCAAGUCCUCAUAUUCUGUGCCUCGGAGAUGAAUUUAAGACAAGUCAAGCAUGUACACGAGUGAGGGAGGGUGUAAAAUACUUUCAAUAAAUCCAUAUUUAAAUGCAAAUUUACAGUGGUCUAAUUGUGUUUGUAUGAGUAUGUGAAAUUAUUUGAGAUUGCAC